rnacentral:lncRNA from 1 species
AUAGCUAGAAGCUGGCCAUGGGGCAAACUCCUCCAAAGGCGACCAUCAGAUUGAUUGUUAUUAUUUAUGUGAGUAAUUCUGUUACUUAGCACUGAUUAUCAUUUUUAAUAUAGUCCACCUCUCCAGAGAAGUAGCUGGCUAUGGUGUCCCACGGAUUUGGAAGACUAUCAUUGGUCACAUAAACCCAGCCCACAUUCUGCUGGUAAGCACGAUCAAUAACAUCUCCAUAGUCAAAGCUUGACACAUUCACAUCCGUGACAUUGUAGAACAGGGCAUAAAAGUUAUACCUCGAAUACUUGCUCGUCCAGGAACUCUGAGUCAUAGACAGCCCACCAACACCGCUCUCAAAAAUACAAAUCACAUCGGCUACCCGAGAACCAUUAUAGAAGAGGUAUGUCUCCAGGGUUGGAGCUCCGGGAUUAUUAACCACUAGAGAGCUCGAAUUCUUGGACUUCACGUAGUUGUAGAGGCUUUGAUAGUAAGGCUGCUUCCCGUCUGUGUUGGCAACUUCGUCGAAGAAAAUUCCAUUGAUAGUUGGAUAGAAGCGGUACCACGUAUCGACGUCGUCUUGGACCAAAUUGGAAGCUCUGUUGCUGUAAUUAGUCGAGACAUAGCCGAUAACCAGGCCUGUUUGGCGCUGGAGGGCCGUAAUAACAUUCUGGUAGCUUGAUUGAGCUGCAGAGCCUGGACCAUUGGACGGAUUUGCGAUUGCUACGAUCCGGUUUGGUAGCGUGGUGGCAGCAGAAUUGAGAGAAGACCAUGCCUGGGAAUUUGAAGAAGGAUCGAAGUAGGCCGGUACCAUGAUCCUCAUUUUUUCACAUCUUUGGGACCACACUAACUGGCAUGCAAGGCUGAGCACCUGGAAGAACAAGAGAGCAAGAGAAAGCAUUUUCCUAUUCAUGAUCUUCAGGUUUUUCCUGAACAAUGAGCUUCAAGAUCAGGGUAAGAUGGCUUAAGAACUCGAUACUGAGUAGUUUCAAGCAGGACAGCUGUCAUUGAACUUAUGGCUCAAGUUAAGUAAGAUCAACGGCAACUUCUUAAGUCAAAGCUCGUUAUGUAACCAAGACCAAACUUCGCAGCGAACAUGAUAGCUACACAACAUCGACGUACCAGCAGUUCAUGCAUUGCUAGCAAAACACAAUAAAAACACCAUAGAGAGAAAAGGAAAUGCAUCACCUUGCCAGUAGCUCAACUACAGAUGGAUCAAAGCCCAUACUAAAAGAAUUCUCCGGAACAUAGCCUGGCAGCCGGAACCUUGAAGAAAACUACGGUACAACCGAGAAAGAUCCUUCAGCGUUUCUGAUUCUCCAUCUUGAGGGCUGGUGCUCUCCUAUUCUCCACCGCGGCGGCAGCCUCGUUGGUGGCAUCGCUCGCUCGCCACAAUCAAAUUCACGGUGAUGAGAUUUGGUUGCCAGGUACGCCGUCAGAUAAUCUUGAAUCCACAAAUGCGAUUGCGGCAUACCUUCCAUCCAGAGGGAAGCUUCCCUGGUCCCACAAAUUUGGGUCCCACAAAUGGCUCAAUGUCCUAGUCAUAGGCGUCAGCCGCCAUGUCAGAUCCUCAUUAGAAAAGUUGACAAGCCUUUUCUUCAAUAUUGAAAAUAUAAUUGUCUUUAAGCAGGGGCACCAAAGAUCAAGAGUGCAAAGUGUGUAAACAGUUUAUGAAUAAAUGAAGAUCCAAGAUUUCUCCAGGUAAGCCAGAUUUUCUUUUCUUUCUAUUCGUUCUUAUUGAGUUUUUCAAUUAAUUCUAGCAAUAUCUUCUCUGGAAGGUUUUUCUCCUCCGAAUCAAAAUCUAAAUGGUAAAGCUUCAUGUUUUGCAAAUAGAGCUAGAAAACAAUAGCAAUGCAUCAGCCGUCAUGGUUUCAGGCUUUGUUGGACAUCAAGAACAUCCCUAGGUGUUGUUCUGCAUUGAGUGCAAGGUGCCAUUCAGCCAAGAAUGCAGAGAUGAUCAAGGGACUUGCAACCACACAAACACUUUGCAGAUCUCUGUCCUAGGCCACUUUUCCACACUCAAAGUGUGCAAUGUGAAGUGGCUCAUCGAUACAUCACAUUUAUCAUCAAUCUUGUAUUUCCAUGCCAGUCUAGUGCCAAGGAGAGUUUGUUGGUUGCAUUAUAGCAUGAUUUCUUCUUGGCAAGACACUCCCUUACUAGACAUAUAAUUAUCUUAUUUUCAUUGAAUAGAUCUUGACAUGAUAAAUGUAGAUAAUUGCCAUGGCAAUAGAAAAAAAUUGAUUGUUGUCCCCUUUUUUAUUCUGUCCUAGUGAAUUUAAUUUUUUUCUGGCAGUCCCUGGCCAUAAAACAAUUAUAAGUAAAUAUGCAACUAAAUAUGAAACUAAAUGUCCAAAUUAUGCAACUAAAUGCCCAUAUAGCUUUUGUCUUUCUUAUAUUUUAGCAUCUAAAAAACAAACGGAUAAAAAACUUUAAGUUCUAACUUAAUAUCCCAAUAUAAAAAACUUAAUGUUCACAUAUUUAGCACAGAUAUUGUUUAGGUUUAGGGCUUGUGCCGUGGGCUAUACCUUUUAGAAGGAUUCAGACAGAUAGUUUAGAUGAGGUGGCAUGCCACGUGGCAUACAUUUUCUACAAUAUGCAGCCCAUGUGGCACACUUUAUGUACUCAAAACAUACCACGUGGCAAACCCUUACUUUUGGAUGCCACGUUGGCAUCUUGGAGCUUAAACCUUAAACCCUAAACGCUGAGAAGCAAUUAAGAAAAUUAAGAUACCUCCAAAGCUAAUCCACUACUAGUUAUGUGGACCAGUAUACCUUAGCAAAGGCUUGCUCAUGGUGCUCAGCAACCUAAUCCAGGCAAGAGAAAUCAAAAACCCUAGCAAGGAUAAUGUGGCAAAGAAUGAGCGGGGAUGAUGCAUAUGAUGGCAUGGAAUGAGCAGGGGGUGAACCAUGAGGAGUUUAGGUGGGAACCCUAAAUGCUAAAUUGCAAGAUGGUGAGCAUGCGUCUUUAAACAAUUGAAGUAGAUGUGUUUUAAAUGCAUAUAUCUUGCCUAGUUAUACCUUCUCUUUUGGGAGGUAUACCUUUCCUCUACCAAAUAUAUUUUCAUUACACACGUAGAACUUUAUAAGUUUAUAUAGAAUAAUUAGUUUUGAUCACAUUAAAUCACAUAAUCUAUUUUCAUGUUUAUUGCCGCUACCUAUAAUAUAAAUUUCUAAGCAUAGAUCAUAUUCAAUUUUGACAUUUUUUUAUCAAUAUCACCAUCCACCACUAUAUAAUAAUACUAGAAAUCUAAGAAAUAAUGACCUGUGUUUGGUUGUAAUAUUUAAGCUAAACAUAGGUUACAAUUAAGUAAAUGCAUUUGCCUAACUCCCGCUGAUGCAUUAAAAUCUUAAAAUCUUCUCUAUCAUUCGGUUGCAUUCGUGCAAUUCGGGCCACCUUGCGAGGCUGAGCAAACGGUGACGAAAUGUUCUCGUCCUGAGUCUGAUCGACUUGGGGCUGCUGCAGAUGCUCAAGCUCUCCUUGGCACUGGAGUUUACAGUAAAGCGAGCUUUGUGCAGGACCCUCCUGCAGUGGCGGCUACUGAGUUUGGUUGCACGGAGAUACAAGAUCGGGUUUCUGUUGAUUCUAAAUGUCUCCAACCCCUAUGUAUCGAUGACCCGUUUCGCAUCGCAUACCUUGAUUGCCAAAAGGCGGCCUGCGACUAAGAUCUGCAAAGUGUUCAUGUGGUUGCAAGUUCCAUGAUCGUCUCUGCAUUCUUGGCUGAGUGGCACCUUUCACUCGAUGCAGAACAGGUUCUUCCUGGGUGUGGAACUGGAGUGGCGUUGGAGGAUAAUUUAGGUAACCUGGGGCACGAGUUCUUGGGCAGCCAUGAAUUUGCCGAGCAUCGGCUAUGGCAGCGCAGGAGUCCCCAGUCUAGAUGCUCACGAGGCGCCUCCCAAUCAAGGACAUCCUGGCGGCGGUCCACCCUGGAGGAGAGAUUGAUCCAAAGCUGGAGACCACGCUGAACACCAGUGCUAUCGCAGUGCACAAUGCCUCGCGCCAGCAGUCAUCCAAUAGAAGAAACUAUCGUGAUAAAGCAAGAAAAGAAAAUCAGAGAGAUUUAGUAAACCUUUAAGUCAACCAGCUUAAAUAGUGGCUUGCGCUUGAUGGAGGCAUAGAUCGCGACUGACCAUUCUGGAACUGCCUUGGAGGCCGACCGGGCUUGCGCUUGGGAGGCAUCAUUUCUGGAGCUGGCCCCUUGCGAAUUCCUGGCGGGAAUCACGGCGCUUUGAAAUAAAACCCUGGAGGAACUUGACAUGGGGCAUUUGCAUGAAUCACCGGAGCGAUGGCGCGUAAAGAAGCGAUGGUGAGGGUUUCUCAGAGUGAAGGAUCGAUAAAGAGUCUGGACGCGCUGCAAGCUAUUUGGUUUUCUUUUGGUCUAUAAGCGAGAAAGAGUUUCAAAGAUGGAGGAUAAUUUAGGUACCUGGGGCACGAGUUCUCGUCGUGGGAGCCGAGCAUCUGCUAUGGCAGCGCAGGACUCCCCAGAAUCGUCAACCAAGAAUCGUCACCAGGCGCCUCCCAAUCAAGGUCAUCCUGGCGGCGCUCCAGCGGCCCCCGGGCCUCGUCCGCGAGGCGGUGGAGCUUUUCUUCCACCGCUGCGCCGCCGAGCUCUCCCAGAAGCCCGCCAGCUCCAUGCGACGUCGUGCUCCACACCACGCUGGCUGCUCAACAUGUACGUGGCCGGGUUAAGGCCCAGAAGCUCUUCGACCAGACGCUCGAGCCCAACAACAUCACCUUCUCGGCCUACGCUAGAAACGGCCACUUUGGCAUGGAGCAUCGAACAGGACGGCUACAAGCCCGACAGCGUCACCUUCACGCACGUCCUCUACGCUUGCAGCCAUGGCGGCUUCGUGGACCUUACAGCGACGCUGGGAAGUGGAACAUGGCCGCCAAGGUCCACAAGUUGAUAUAAGCGUGACCGGGGAAUAAAGAAGCCCGGCAGCAGGAGCUGGAUCGAGAUCAAUGGCAAGAUGAACGAGUUCAUCGUAAACGAUUCCUGGCACACGUACCUCGCCCAGAUCCGCUAGAGAAGUGAUGAAACAAUAGCAAGAUAUUCUCUACUUCCAUAGCUAGAAGCUGGCCAUGGGGCAAACUCCUCCAAAGGCGACCAUCAGAUUGAUUGUUAUUAUUUAUGUGAGUAAUUCUGUUACUUAGCACUGAUUAUCAUUUUUAAUAUAGUCCACCUCUCCAGAGAAGUAGCUGGCUAUGGUGUCCCACGGAUUUGGAAGACUAUCAUUGGUCACAUAAACCCAGCCCACAUUCUGCUGGUAAGCACGAUCAAUAACAUCUCCAUAGUCAAAGCUUGACACAUUCACAUCCGUGACAUUGUAGAACAGGGCAUAAAAGUUAUACCUCGAAUAAUUGCUCGUCCAGGAACUCUGAGUCAUAGACAGCCCACCAACACCGCUCUCAAAAAUACAAAUCACAUCGGCUACCCGAGAACCAUUAUAGAAGAGGUAUGUCUCCAGGGUUGGAGCUCCGGGAUUAUUAACCACUAGAGAGCUCGAAUUCUUGGACUUCACGUAGUUGUAGAGGCUUUGAUAGUAAGGCUGCUUCCCGUCUGUGUUGGCAACUUCGUCGAAGAAAAUUCCAUUGAUAGUUGGAUAGAAGCGGUACCACGUAUCGACGUCGUCUUGGACCAAAUUGGAAGCUCUGUUGCUGUAAUUAGUCGAGACAUAGCCGAUAACCAGGCCUGUUUGGCGCUGGAGGGCCGUAAUAACAUUCUGGUAGCUUGAUUGAGCUGCAGAGCCUGGACCAUUGGACGGAUUUGCGAUUGCUACGAUCCGGUUUGGUAGCGUGGUGGCAGCAGAAUUGAGAGAAGACCAUGCCUGGGAAUUUGAAGAAGGAUCGAAGUAGGCCGGUACCAUGAUCCUCAUUUGUUCACAGCUUUGGGACCACACUAACUGGCAUGCAAGGCUGAGCACCUGAAAGAACAAGAGAGCAAGAGAAAGCAUUUUCCUAUUCAUGAUCUUCAGGAUUUUCCUGAACAAUGAGCUUCAAGAUCAGGGUAAGAUGGCUUAAGAACUCGACCACGAACUUACUGAGUAGUUUCAAGCAGGACAGCUGUCAUUGAAC